GACGAACGCUGGCGGCGUGCUUAACACAUGCAAGUCGAACGCUGAAGCUUGGUGCUUGCACUGGGUGGAUGAGUGGCGAACGGGUGAGUAAUACGUGUGUAACCUGCCCUUGACUCUGGGAUAAGCCUGGGAAACUGGGUCUAAUACUGGAUACGACAUGUCACCGCAGGGUGGUGUGUGGAAAUGGGUUUAUUGGUUUUGGAUGGGCUCACGGCCUAUCAGCUUGUUGGUGGGGUAAUGGCUCACCAAGGCGACGACGGGUAGCCGGCCUGAGAGGGUGACCGGCCACACUGGGACUGAGACACGGCCCAGACUCCUACGGGAGGCAGCAGUGGGGAAUAUUGCACAAUGGGCGGAAGCCUGAUGCAGCGACGCCGCGUGAGGGAUGACGGCCUUCGGGUUGUAAACCUCUUUCAGCACGGAAGAAGCGAAAGUGACGGUACGUGCAGAAGAAGCGCCGGCUAACUACGUG
rnacentral:rRNA from 1 species